UGCCAAAGAAAGAACACCUCAGCAUGUU
rnacentral:piRNA from 1 species